rnacentral:lncRNA from 1 species
UCUCUCUCUCUCACCCUCUCGAACACACAGGCAACCACCCAAAACCACCUAAAACUUAUACCAACGUCGGAUUUAAAGCUACCAUGGCAUUCCUGAGGACUCCACGAUCACGUAGACACCAAUUUCAGGUAAGUUUUACUUCGGAAAACCUAGAUUCUAAACUCCCCGUGAAAGUGCACUGUUCAUGAUCUUCGAAUUGACUUUGUUUUAGGACAAUCCAAGCUCAUAGCAAGCUUGGUGAGGUCCCAAGGAAGCUCGGAGUGCUUCGUUGGAAGUUUUUGGACGUAAGAACACGGAGAUCGACAAGUUCAAAGUUUAGCCGGAGCUUUCGAGGCGUUUUCCGGCGAAUCCCCGGCGAGUUAGGAGUCGAGGUAGGUAUCAAUCUCUUCGUCUCGUCAAGUACUACAACUUUCCUUUUUGUUUCACUCAAUUUCGUUGAGUAUUGAAGAAGUUAUACUCAUUUGAAAAAUACCCAGUUUCCGGCGACCUCCGAGGCUUUCGAGGCAGUUUCCGGCCAAACCACGGCGAACUAGGUGUUGUGCAAGGUAUCAUUCUCUUUGUCUCUUCAAGGGCUACAACUUUUGUUUUUGAAUCACUUGAUUUCGUUGAGAAAUGACAAAGUUAUGGCAAUUUGAAAAACUGCCCAGAAAACGGCCGCCGGAAAAAACCAGUCCGGCGACCCAAGGAAGAAGAAGGUGCUACAGUAAAAAUAAAAAAAAAUAAAAUAAAAUUAUUUUAAAAAUAUGUCGACGUCCGUGACGUCGAGUAGAUCACUGUGGUAUAUUCAUAUACCUAAAUUGAACACCGUAUGAGAAAGUUAUUGAAGAUUGUUGGUUAGGUGUUCAAAUAACGUUUUAUAGUUUUCACAUUUAGGUGAAAAUGUGAAUUGAUGAUCCGACCGUUGGAUCGUCACCAAACUUUGAUACGUUGUAAUACGUAAUAUUUGAGGAUUAUUGGAACUUACGGAUUGGGAAUCAGAGUUACUGAUCUUCCGGAAUUGGAAUUGUAAGUCCAUAAAUAUAAAAUGUUAACCGUCACUUAGUUUUGGAAAUUGACGGAGAUCCGACCGUUGGAUGGUAAUGAAAUUUUAGGAUGUUUGUCCUAGAGGUAUAUUGUGGACCUCUGGAAGUUAUGGAUUUAAAAUCUGAGUGGCAGAUCUUCCGGAUCGAUCAACGUAGUGACGUAUUUUAUAUAAGUUAUGUAUUCUAUCGAUAUGAAUUCUGAGGUUGGAAUUGAUUAUUGUUUUAGGCGCCGAUCGUCAUGACGCCUUGGCGUAUUGUGCUAGGGAGUUGUAGGGCGAACUCCAGGUGAGUGGGCAGUUUUGUUUUCCGUAUAUAUAUAUACUUGACGUUUCCCAGAAAUUGAAUUGAAAUGAAAAUAUGUUUAAAAUGAAAUGCAUAUGAGUUAUGUGGAAAAACGGGAAGUGAAAUACCAUGCAUAGAAUUGAUAUGAAAAGUAUAUAGAAAUGUGAGUUGAAAUGCCAUGCAUGAAUUAAUUUAUGAUGCAUAUGUAUGAAUUGGUGCGGUGGACGCACAUGUAAGAAUUGAUUUAUGAUGCAUAUGUAUGAAUUGGUGCGGUGGACGCACAUGUAAGAAUUGAUUUAUGAUGCAUAUGUAUGAAAUGGUGCGGUGGACGCACAGGUGAGUAUCAGGUGAUUAUUUAAAUACUGUUAUGAUGAUGUUGAUAUAUAUUGAGCUCAAAUCCUGCACCAUGGUUUAGUGCUUAUAGUAUUCACCGCAUCGCACGCUCGCCUUGGAUCCAAGUAGAUGCUAGUCGUACAGUCCACGCGGAGUGGGUACGACAGACCAGUCGCGAGAGAGUGUUAGUGAGAUUCCGACUGGUGGGUGACCUUAGAUUAUGUGCACAGAUGAUUUAUGAGAAGCACUAGAGCGUAACUUGUGUGCAGAAGGCCGGACGGGUCACAGAGGUGACUCCGGUAGAGUGAUAAUGAUAGAUUUUGAGCUCUAGGUUCAACCGUACAGGGCUAUUAGAGGGCCUACGGUUGAUUACUUUCUUGCACCUGAUAUGAUUAUGUUGAUGCAUUCAUACCUUAUUACUGUUGAGAUGAUGUGGCAUGGCAUAAUUAAUAUGAGAAAUGUUGAGAUGAUGUGGCAUGGCAUAACUGAUAUGAAAAAUGUUGAAAAAGUGAAAUGAAGUAUUGAGAAUAUAUAUGUAUAUUUAUAUUUUACAUUUCUGGGAAAGUAUACAGGUUUUACGGAGAGGGGUUACAACGUUAUGAGAAAUGUUUGGAUUUGGAAAAGAAUUGUUUUACUGACCCACUCAAUUUUGGUUUUGCGCCCCUCCAGGUUCAGGAAUCACAAAGGUGUGGUGACUACGAGGAAUACGGCGGGGUUCUGACAGAUUGGACAAAAUUAGGACUCACCUUCGGGUGUAUCAACUUAUAAAUUGUAUAAUUAAAGCUUCCGUACUGUGCAAAUGGUUACGUCACUCUCACGUGACGGCCAGCAUGCCCUCCUUCGGGACGGGGUGUGUCAGUUGGUAUCAGAGCAUGGUUGCAAUCUUGGACAUCUUGAGAAGUUUCUAGUGAAUUCUGUCAGAACUACACCGCCUCGUAGCAAACCACGUAGUUAGAGGAACUUAGUCUCCCUGAUUUAGCGGUUUGGGGGAAACUAUUAUUAUGGUGAUUCAGUAUAUUAUCAAAAUGGACAUUUUAAGACGGGUUAUGAGUUGAAUUUGAAUCACCUUAUGAAAUGAUGAACCUGAGGGAGCGGAGUGACGGUUUAACCAAUUGGAAAAGAUGUUUCAGAUUAUGCAAGUCAAAGGAAAUUUCCUUCUGACAGGUGGGUCGAGACGACUACCUGGUUUUGGGUAUGAAAUUGUAUCCUGGUGGAAACAGGAAUGUUAAUUGUUGUCACCAGAGGAAUCAGCCGAUUUAAAAUUUUUUAAGGAAAAGUUUAUCCCUCCGGCAUUUAUCGAUGGUAGUAAGCAAGAGUUUGCAAAUGUGAAUCAAGGAAGUUGACGAUAAAGUUAAUGAUUCGUCAUAUCAAGGAUAUAGAAAGAUUCAGAGCUUCGAAAGAAGUGAAGCUAGAGUUAAUUCUUCCAGCUGAGGUUUUAAUGUCGCUGGUCAGAGUAAAAGUGAUGGAUAUACUGGUAAUCCCAGAUAUUUGAGACAAGGUGUCUCGAGUAAAGGAAAUGUACUUUGUGCAGCAGGUACAAAAUUAACACUUUGGGAAAUGUGAAAUUAAUGAAUGUGUUUAUGUGAACAGAAGGGACACAGAGUUGUGAAUCGUCCCUAGAAUCAGUUGUACUCAACAAUUUUCCAUGAAAUCAUAGUGUCGAUUCAGCAGAGUUAUGGAUUUAGUAGUUUGGUCGGAUUGACCGUGGGUACAGAGAGAUUUGAUGAGUUAUAUGUUCAGUCGUACAGACCAUGAGAAGUGGAUUCGAUUGACACAUGAGAAAUUGGUGAGUUAUAGGCUCGGCCGUACCGACCACGCGGAGUGGAUCCGGCCGACGUAUUAUUGAGAUAAGAGUUGAAUCAGCCGUAUUGGUCAUUCUAGUUGACUUCGGCUGAUAUAUUUCUUAUUAUGUAUGUUAUUACCUAGAGAGUAGUAAAUAAAUGUAGUUGAGACGAGUGUAUGUAUUUUGCAUUGAGUGACAAAAUAGUAAUGUUAUAUCUUUGAGAGUGGUUGCCUACUUAUCGAGACAACGAUGAUUUAUCAGUAUUGCGGGCUGCAGACCGUAAUAUUAAUAACUCAUUCGUGGAUUCGUUAAGCAAGCAAACCGGUAGGUUAUUUUAUGUUAGUGUUGUACUUAUUUAGAAUGCUUAAUAAUAAUAGAAUAUAUAUUGUAUCAGUUAAUUCUGUUCCAUUAGAUUGGUUGGUUAUAAUUGUGACAAGACGGAAUGUUACGGGAAACCAGUACUUUCCAUCGAUCUGGAUGACCAGAGAUUACUUUUGUAAGUAUGCAAAGUGGAUUGAGUCAGGCCGUUAUUUAUGCUGUGAGAGCAAAGAGAUUGUUUUCGAAAGGCUGUCAAAAAUACUUAGCUCAUGUGGUGCUAAAUGAUGUUGUUUGGAGUAGUGUGAAUAAUGUCGAAAGGGUUAGACUUUUCUUGAUGUCUUCCCUGAAAGUAUACCUGGAUUGCCUUCAGGCAGAGAUAUGAGGUUCACUAUUGAUUUGUUGCCAGGUAUAAAUUUAUAUUGGAGAUUGGUUCAUGAUGAGUUAAGGGAAUUGGAAAUUCAGUUGAGGGAAUUGGUUGAUAAAAGUUUUAUUCAACCUAGUACAACACUUUUGAGGAGCCCCAGUUUGUUGGUGAGGAAGAAAAUGGAUCUUGAGACUGUUCAUUGAUUAUAGACAAUGGAGUCGGGUAACGAUUGAGAACCGUUAUCCAUGGUGAUGUACUGAUGUUUAUUUAACCAGCUCAGAAGUAAUUGCGAAGAUUCAAAGAUUGAAUUGAGAUCUGGUUACUACCAAUUGAAUAUUAUAAGUGACGUUGAUCAUAAGAUGGUUUUCUGGACUUGUUAUAGUUUUUAUGAAGUUUGGUGAUGCUAUGUGGAUACUCAUGCUGUUUUAUGAGUUGAUGGAUGAAGUAUUCCAAUAAUGCCUUGAUAAAUUGAUAUCAUUUUCAUUGAAGAUAUUCUGGCAUAUUCUAAGCCUAGAGCAUGUAAACGUAUUAAGUCGGUGAAGCAAAGAUUAAGAGAACGUUGGUUGUAUGCUAAGUUUAGCAAAUGCGAAUGUUGGAUGAAUCAAGUGGCAUUCUGAGAUUGGUUAUAUCUGCUUAAGGUAUUCAAAUGAAUUCUUAAAAGGCAGCAGAAUUGAGAAAUUGGAACAACCACAAGCCAUAAUUGAGAUUCGGAAAUUCUUAACUUAUCAGGCUAUUUUGGAUGGUUGUGAAAGAAUUUUUAGUCAUUGUUUUGUCAUUGAUGAGACUGUUGAGAAAGGAGGUUAUGUAUGAGUGGGAAGGAAUUGUAAGCAAAGGAUUCAACAACUGAAGUAUUUCCUCACUCAUGCACGUAUUUUGGUAUUCCCAGAGAAUAGUGGUAAUCAUAAAUUUUUAGUGAUGUUUCUUGAAUGGUAUUGGAUGCAUGUUGAUGCAAAUGUUAGGGUGAUUGCAUACGUUUCACGAUAAAUGGAAUCUCAUAAGAUGAAUUACCCUACGGGUGACUUGGAAGUCAUGAUUACCAUUCUUGCUGUGAAGUUAUGAAGGCAUUAUAUUUGGUAAGAAUGCAAGAUUUUUACGAAUCCAAAAAGUCUUCAAUAUCCAUUACUUGGAAGGAUUUUGAUAUGAGGCAGCGAAAGUGAAUUGUAUUGCUUAAUGAACAUGAUUGUACGAUCAGGGUGAUCGUAAAGUUUGUUCUAGCUGAAGCACUUGAUAAGAAGACUGCAGUAAGAAUUAAUAUCUGGUACGCUUGCCAAGAUUAUCUUCUUGUGGAUUGGAAAUCAACUAAAGUAAAGUUAAGAAUGAAAGAUCGAGAAGAAGUUAUACUUGUUAAGUUUCAAGUUAGGCCUUUUGGUAAGGUCGUACUCGAGACUCAAAUGGUAUGUGGAUACAAGAAAACAAAAAGUAUGUGCCUAAUGCUGAGGAUUUGAAGCAAGCAAAUAUUGGACGAAGUUCACUGUUCAACUUCUGCAAUAUUCCAAAAGUAAUAAGAUUUAUCAUACCAUUCGACAGUUUUAUUUGGUCAGCAGAUUGAGGCAGAAAGAGAUAAACCUUUGGAUUGAGAUAAUUAUUUUCUGUUUCGCAGUGGAAAUGGAAAGAUAUUACUUUGGAUUAUGUGUACAAGCUUCCUUGUACACAAGAUGGUUAUGAUCGAAUUUGAAGUGAUAGUUGGUCAAUGUACCAAGUUAGUACAAUUACUCCAGUGUUGAGUAAUAAAUUUUUUUUCAGACAGGGCAACGGUACUUAAUGUAUUUGUGUUCGAUGCGUUGUCACUAGGUGGCAGAGUCGUCUCAUGGAAUUCUGGUGCAACUAUUGAGAAUUAAAUUGGAUUCGACUUGAUAAGGAACCAAGGACGACUUUGGAUUGGAAAAAGAAGGUCCUGAGAAUUAAGACAGAGUAAGUAGUAAAAGCUUUGUGAAGGAAAUCAUUCAGUAGAAAAUUAUGUGGGAAAAAGAGAAUCGGAUGAGAGAGAUUUAUCCGAGGCUAUUGUAUGAGUAUAGAUGAUUUAGUUGGUUGCUGGAAUUUCGGGGACGAAAUUCUAUAAGGAGGGGAGAUUGUCACAGCCCGUCCCGGAAUUUUUAAUUCCGAGGACAUGAAAUUACGAAAAUGUCCCUAAUACGUGACUAAGGUAUAAUUUUCACGUUCGUUAUAUCUAAGCUCCAAAAAAAAUUUGGUAAUUAGAGUGGAGACUUAGACUUAAAUUUUAUGAUGGAAUUUUAUGAAAUUGGGAUUGGAUUGGACAUGUGGGAUCCCCACACCUCAAAACCCUCCCCAUUUCCCGUAUACUGUCCUUCAUACUCUCUCUCUUCCUCAGACCUCACUCUCUCUCUCUCACCCUCUCGAACACACAGGCAACCACCCAAAACCACCUAAAACUUAUACCAACGUCGGAUUUAAAGCUACCAUGGCAUUCCUGAGGACUCCACGAUCACGUAGACACCAAUUUCAGGUAAGUUUUACUUCGGAAAACCUAGAUUCUAAACUCCCCGUGAAAGUGCACUGUUCAUGAUCUUCGAAUUGACUUUGUUUUUAGGACAAUCCAAGCUCAUAGCAAGCUUGGUGAGGUCCCAAGGAAGCUCGGAGUGCUUCGUUGGAAGUUUUUGGACGUAAGAACACGGAGAUCGACAAGUUCAAAGUUUAGCCGGAGCUUUCGAGGCGUUUUCCGGCGAAUCCCCGGCGAGUUAGGAGUCGAGGUAGGUAUCAAUCUCUUCGUCUCGUCAAGUACUACAACUUUCCUUUUGUUUUCACUCAAUUUCGUUGAGUAUUGAAGAAGUUAUACUCAUUUGAAAAAUACCCAGUUUCCGGCGACCUCCGAGGCUUUCGAGGCAGUUUCCGGCCAAACCACGGCGAACUAGGUGUUGUGCAAGGUAUCAUUCUCUUUGUCUCUUCAAGGGCUACAACUUUUGUUUUUGAAUCACUUGAUUUCGUUGAGAAAUGACAAAGUUAUGGCAAUUUGAAAAACUGCCCAGAAAACGGCCGCCGGAAAAACCAGUCCGGCGACCCAAGGAAGAAGAAGGUGCUACAGUAAAAAUAAAAAAAAUAAAAAUAAAAUUAUUUUAAAAAUAUGUCGACGUCCGUGACGUCGAGUAGAUCACUGUGGUAUAUUCAUAUACCUAAAUUGAACACCGUAUGAGAAAGUUAUUGAAGAUUGUUGGUUAGGUGUUCAAAUAACGUUUUAUAGUUUUCACAUUUAGGUGAAAAUGUGAAUUGAUGAUCCGACCGUUGGAUCGUCACCAAACUUUGAUACGUUGUAAUACGUAAUAUUUGAGGAUUAUUGGAACUUACGGAUUGGGAAUCAGAGUUACUGAUCUUCCGGAAUUGGAAUUGUAAGUCCAUAAUAUAAAAUGUUAACCGUCACUUAGUUUUGGAAAUUGACGGAGAUCCGACCGUUGGAUGGUAAUGAAAUUUUAGGAUGUUGUCCUAGAGGUAUAUUGUGGACCUCUGGAAGUUAUGGAUUUAAAAUCUGAGUGGCAGAUCUUCCGGAUCGAUCAACGUAGUGACGUAUUUUAUAUAAGUUAUGUAUUCUAUCGAUAUGAAUUCUGAGGUUGGAAUUGAUUAUUGUUUUAGGCGCCGAUCGUCAUGACGCCUUGGCGUAUUGUGCUAGGGAGUUGUAGGGCGAACUCCAGGUGAGUGGGCAGUUUUGUUUUCCGUAUAUAUAUAUACUUGACGUUUCCCAGAAAUUGAAUUGAAAUGAAAAUAUGUUUAAAAUGAAAUGCAUAUGAGUUAUGUGGAAAAACGGGAAGUGAAAUACCAUGCAUAGAAUUGAUAUGAAAAGUAUAUAGAAAUGUGAGUUGAAAUGCCAUGCAUGAAUUAAUUUAUGAUGCAUAUGUAUGAAUUGGUGCGGUGGACGCACAUGUAAGAAUUGAUUUAUGAUGCAUAUGUAUGAAUUGGUGCGGUGGACGCACAUGUAAGAAUUGAUUUAUGAUGCAUAUGUAUGAAAUGGUGCGGUGGACGCACAGGUGAGUAUCAGGUGAUUAUUUAAAUACUGUUAUGAUGAUGUUGAUAUAUAUUGAGCUCAAAUCCUGCACCAUGGUUUAGUGCUUAUAGUAUUCACCGCAUCGCACGCUCGCCUUGGAUCCAAGUAGAUGCUAGUCGUACAGUCCACGCGGAGUGGGUACGACAGACCAGUCGCGAGAGUGUUAGUGAGAUUCCGACUGGUGGGUGACCUUAGAUUAUGUGCACAGAUGAUUUAUGAGAAGCACUAGAGCGUAACUUGUGUGCAGAAGGCCGGACGGGUCACAGAGGGUGACUCCGGUAGAGUGAUAAUGAUAGAUUUUGAGCUCUAGGUUCAACCGUACAGGGCUAUUAGAGGGCCUACGGUUGAUUACUUUCUUGCACCUGAUAUGAUUAUGUUGAUGCAUUCAUACCUUAUUACUGUUGAGAUGAUGUGGCAUGGCAUAAUUAAUAUGAGAAAUGUUGAGAUGAUGUGGCAUGGCAUAACUGAUAUGAAAAAUGUUGAAAAAGUGAAAUGAAGUAUUGAGAAUAUAUAUGUAUAUUUAUAUUUUACAUUUCUGGGAAAGUAUACAGGUUUUACGGAGAGGGGUUACAACGUUAUGAGAAAUGUUUGGAUUUGGAAAAGAAUUGUUUACUGACCCACUCAAUUUUGGUUUUGCGCCCCUCCAGGUUCAGGAAUCACAAAGGUGUGGUGACUACGAGGAAUACGGCGGGGUUCUGACAGAUUGGACAAAAUUAGGACUCACCUUCGGGUGUAUCAACUUAUAAAUUGUAUAAUUAAAGCUUCCGUACUGUGCAAAUGGUUACGUCACUCUCACGUGACGGCCAGCAUGCCCUCCUUCGGGACGGGGUGUGUCAAAGUGGCUCUGGAUCAUAGUGGUUAAGAGGAGUGUUGUCUUUGUACCACGACUCGAGUUUGAACUCUGUUGACUUU